rnacentral:rRNA from 1 species
AUGAACGCUAGCGACAGGCUUAACACAUGCAAGUCGAGGGGCAUCAAGGUAGUAGCAAUACUACUGUUGGCGACCGGCGCACGGGUGAGUAACGCGUAUGCAACCUACCUUCAACAAGGGGAUAGCCCGGCGAAAGUCGGAUUAAUACCCUAUAAAACAGGGGUCCCGCCUGGGAAUAUUUGUUAAAGAUUUAUCGGUUGAAGAUGGGCAUGCGUAACAUUAGGUAGUUGGUAAGGUAACGGCUUACCAAGCCCACGAUGUUUAGGGGUUCUGAGAGGAAGGUCCCCCACACUGGUACUGAGACACGGACCAGACUCCUACGGGAGGCAGCAGUGAGGAAUAUUGGUCAAUGGGCGAGAGCCUGAACCAGCCAAGUCGCGUGAAGGAAGACGGCCCUACGGGUUGUAAACUUCUUUUAUAGGGGAAUAAAAAGGGGAACGUGUUCUCCAUUGCAUGUACCCUAUGAAUAAGCAUCGGCUAACUCCGUGCCAGCAGCCGCGGUAAUACGGAGGAUGCGAGCGUUAUCCGGAUUUAUUGGG